UUGAAUUAUUCAAUUUAUGAAGUCUCAUAUGUUGUUUGAACCAUAUCAUAUUUAUAGGGAUUUUCAGCUGAUUUGAAGAAGCAGAAGAACAUUUUGAUUUUGUACAUGGAAGAAGCAAAUCAAGAAACGAGAGUUUUGAUUGAUUGUGAUUCAUCGAUACGUAGACGAGAAAGGAAGAGUAUUAUCAUUUAAAUGGUUAUGGAAGUGCCUUGUUUUCAAAAGCAAACCAGGAAGAAGACGCACUGUUCUGGUUCGAAACUGAUAUAAGCCUAUAGCAAAAUGUUCAUUCAAUCAGUGAGCUUCAGAUGAUGGGGAUUAUCUUCUUUCUUUUUGUAUCAAGUCGAUGACGAAGCAAUAUAAAUAAGCUCGGGAUUGUAAAUCUGGCAAUUAUAAACCUGUAGCAAAGUGUUCAUGCGAUUAGUGAGCUUUGGAUGAUGUGAGAUUAUCUUCUUUCUAUUUGUAUCAAGUCGAUGGGAAAGCAAUAUAAAUAAACUAGGGGUUGUAAAUAUGGCAAUUCAAAGGGGGAAGGUUAGGUAAGGAAAGAGAGGAAAAUGUGAAGUGAUAGUUGGUCACGUUAGCUCUGGUGUUAGGUGAGAUGAGUCGCCAUUAGUACUUGUCCCUCCUCUCUACUAAUCCACCAAAUUCCCUCAUAUAAUCUUCGCUCUUCCUCUUUCUUCAUCAACUAAACUUCCGUGCGAUCUGUCACUCUUUUUGAGCUGUCUUGUCAACUGGAAAAAAUGGCUGAACAAUUUCCCAACCCCUCUGACCAGGUUGUUCUGGGAGAAGAAGUAGGGCGUGUGAGAUUGAUAACCCUCAACCGUCCUCGUCAGUUGAAUGUCAUCUCAUCCGAUGUGGUAUCCUUGCUAGCAGAAUAUCUGGAGAAAUGGGAGAAAGAUGAUGUUGCUGAGCUUAUAUUAAUUAAGUCAGUUG